rnacentral:rRNA from 1 species
GCAUAAUCAGUAGUCUUUUAAUUGAAGGCUGGAAUGAAUGGUUGGACGAGAUAUUAACUGUUUCAUUUAAAAUUUUUAUAGAACUUUAUUUUUUAGUUAAAAAGCUGAAAUAUUAUUAAAAGACGAGAAGACCCUAUAAAUCUUUAUAUUUAUUAUAUUUUAAUUAUAAAGAUUUUUUUAAUUAUAAUUUUAAUAAAUAUUUUAUUGGGGUGAUAUUAAAAUUUAAUAAACUUUUAAUUUUAUUUAAACAUUAAUUUCUGAUUAAUUGAUCCAUUAUUAGUGAUUAAAAAUUUAAGUUACUUUAGGGAUAACAGCGUAAUUUUUUUGGAGAGUUCAUAUCGAUAAAAAAGAUUGCGACCUCGAUGUUGGAUUAA